AGGGCGCACGGUGGAUGCCUUGGCACUAGGAGCCGAUGAAGGACGGGACUAACACCGAUAUGCUUUGGGGAGCUGUACGUAAGCUAUGAUCCAGAGAUUUCCGAAUGGGGAAACCCAACAUCUUUUAUAGGAUGUUACGUUUGCGUGAAUACAUAGCGCAUUCGAGGUAGACGCAGAGAACUGAAACAUCUAAGUACCUGCAGGAAGAGAAAGAAAAUUCGAUUCCCUGAGUAGCGGCGAGCGAAACGGGAAAAGCCCAAACCAAUGAGCUUGCUCAUUGGGGUUGUAGGACUCCAAUAUGGUAGUUCUUUCAGAUAAUCGAAUGACUUGGAAAAGUCAGUCAAAGAGGGUAAAAACCCCGUAGAUGAAAUUUGGAAGGCACCUAGGAGGAUCCUGAGUACGGCGGAACACGAGGAAUUCCGUCGGAAUCCGGGAGGACCAUCUCCCAAGGCUAAAUACUCCCUAGUGACCGAUAGUGAACCAGUACCGUGAGGGAAAGGUGAAAAGCACCCCGGAAGGGGAGUGAAAUAGAACCUGAAACCGUGUGCCUACAACAAGUCAAAGCCCGUUAAUGGGUGAUGGCGUGCCUUUUGUAGAAUGAACCGGCGAGUUACGAUUGCAUGCGAGGUUAAGUCGAAGAGACGGAGCCGCAGCGAAAGCGAGUCUGAAUAGGGCGUUUGAGUAUGUAGUCGUAGACCCGAAACCAUGUGAUCUACCCAUGUCCAGGUUGAAGGUGCGGUAAAACGCACUGGAGGACCGAACCCACGUACGUUGAAAAGUGCGGGGAUGAGGUGUGGGUAGCGGAGAAAUUCCAAACGAACUUGGAGAUAGCUGGUUCUCUCCGAAAUAGCUUUAGGGCUAGCCUCGGAUUUGAGAAUGAUGGAGGUAGAGCACUGUUUGGACUAGGGGCCCAUCUCGGGUUACCGAAUUCAGAUAAACUCCGAAUGCCAUUCAUUCAUAUCCGGGAGUCAGACUGUGAGUGAUAAGAUCCAUAGUCGAAAGGGAAACAGCCCAGACCACCAGCUAAGGUCCCAAAAUAUAUGUUAAGUGGAAAAGGAUGUGGGGUUGCACAGACAACUAGGAUGUUGGCUCAGAAGCAGCCACCAUUUAAAGAGUGCGUAAUAGCUCACUAGUCGAGUGACCCUGCGCCGAAAAUGUACCGGGGCUAAACAUAUUACCGAAGCUGUGGAGUACACCAUUAGGUGUAUUGGUAGGAGAGCGUUCUAAGGGCGUUGAAGGCAGAUCGUGAGGACUGCUGGAGCGCUUAGAAGUGAGAAUGCCGGUAUGAGUAGCGAAAGACAGGUGAGAAUCCUGUCCACCGAAUGACUAAGGUUUCCUGGGGAAGGCUCGUCCGCCCAGGGUUAGUCGGGACCUAAGCCGAGGCCGACAGGCGUAGGCGAUGGACAACAGGUUGAUAUUCCUGUACUCGUUGUUUUUGUUUGAGCAAUGGAGGGACGCAGGAGGCUAAGGAAUGCAGACGAUUGGAAAUGUCUGUCCAAGCAGUAAGUCUUGAUAGGAGUCAAAUGCUUCUGUCUACACGGAUAAGCUGUGAUGGGGAGGGAAAUAAUAGUACCGAAGUUCCUGAUGUCACACUGCCAAGAAAAGCUUCUAGUGAGAAAACAAUGACCCGUACCGCAAACCGACACAGGUAGUCGAGGAGAGAAUCCUAAGGUGAGCGAGAGAACUCUCGUUAAGGAACUCGGCAAAAUGACCCCGUAACUUCGGGAGAAGGGGUGCUGAUCUUUGAUCAGCCGCAGUGAAUAGGCCCAAGCGACUGUUUAUCAAAAACACAGGUCUCUGCAAAAUCGUAAGAUGAAGUAUAGGGGCUGACGCCUGCCCGGUGCUGGAAGGUUAAGAGGAGUGCUUAGCGUAAGCGAAGGUACGAAUUGAAGCCCCAGUAAACGGCGGCCGUAACUAUAACGGUCCUAAGGUAGCGAAAUUCCUUGUCGGGUAAGUUCCGACCCGCACGAAAGGCGUAACGAUUUGGGCACUGUCUCAACGAGAGACUCGGUGAAAUUUUAGUACCUGUGAAGAUGCAGGUUACCCGCGACAGGACGGAAAGACCCCAUGGAGCUUUACUGUAGUUUGAUAUUGAGUGUCUGUACCGCAUGUACAGGAUAGGUAGGAGCCGUAGAAAUCGGAACGCUAGUUUCGAUGGAGGCGCUGGUGGGAUACUACCCCUGCGUUAUGGCCACUCUAACCCGCACCACUGAUCGUGGUGGGAGACAGUGUCAGAUGGGCAGUUUGACUGGGGCGGUCGCCUCCUAAAAGGUAACGGAGGCGCCCAAAGGUUCCCUCAGAAUGGUUGGAAAUCAUUCGAAGAGUGUAAAGGCAGAAGGGAGCUUGACUGCGAGACCAACAAGUCGAGCAGGGACGAAAGUCGGGCUUAGUGAUCCGGUGGUUCCGCAUGGAAGGGCCAUCGCUCAACGGAUAAAAGCUACCCUGGGGAUAACAGGCUUAUCUCCCCCAAGAGUCCACAUCGACGGGGAGGUUUGGCACCUCGAUGUCGGCUCGUCGCAUCCUGGGGCUGUAGUCGGUCCCAAGGGUUGGGCUGUUCGCCCAUUAAAGCGGCACGCGAGCUGGGUUCAGAACGUCGUGAGACAGUUCGGUCCCUAUCCGUCGCGGGCGUUGGAAAUUUGAGAGGAGCUGUCCUUAGUACGAGAGGACCGGGAUGGACUUACCGCUGGUGUACCAGUUGUUCUGCCAAGGGCAUUGCUGGGUAGCUAUGUAGGGAAGGGAUAAACGCUGAAAGCAUCUAAGUGUGAAGCCCACCUCAAGAUGAGAUUUCCCAUUUCU
rnacentral:rRNA from 1 species